AGAGCAGCAGGUUGGGGAAGGAUGUGAUUGGAGAGCUCCUCCUGUUUCUUUGCCAUCAAUACGUAAAACCUCCGAGCUUCUUCUAGCAGAUGAGGAAGUUCCCUUGCAAAAGCUCCAUCUGAGUGCCAGAUAGCAGGACCAUGAAGGCUGCUCUGCUUGUCGGUGCCAUCCUGAUGAUGAACCUUAUUGCAAUAGCGGCCUCUGAAGAGGACCCGAGCGUAGAAGAAAAGGGUUCUGCAUCUGCCCCACCUCCCCCAAUACAGAGCCAGGCCAUGCUCUUCUUCCCUGGACCAGCUUCUUUUCUUCUGUCAUUCCUGCUGGCCUUGGGUCACCUUCUGCAAGUCUUCUGAGGCUGGAGUUUCCCACCUAAGGAAAUCCCAGGAGGAUCUUCCCGCUCUUAUCUACCUUGGAAGAAACCCUCCUUGAUGCCACUAAUGCCCUAACAAAUGGACUCUGCUGUAAUCCUUCCAUAAUGCUAUGCCAUGUUUGUGCUCAUCUCCGUAAUCUGAGGCUCCAUGGCUGUAUUCUCUCGACAGCGACCACAAAAUAAAUGCCAGAAAGGCUGCCUUUCCAAGUGCCUGGAGUUCAUACCAAGAAAGCCAGAGUGAUCAAUGACUUUCUUUCUGAGGAGGCCUGCUUAGGGACAGUCACCACACCAAAGACUGAAUCAGAAUGUAUUUUUAUAACAGUGUUUGGAUGCCCAAGGCAGAAAAGCCAGAUGGAGCCUCCCUAAGCAUUCUUGUUAUCAUAGGCCACAACUAAGCAGGAAGAGCUCUUGUUCAUUGCAGUUCAUUGCACUGUACACAGAAGAAUAUCACAGAGAAUCAUGUCCAUAUAAUGGGUCAAGAUAUGCUUUUCUUGAUGGUAUCCCAAAUGGACUACCUGAAGCAACCCCAUUCUGUGUCUCCUGAGCUCAGGAAACAUUUGGGGAAAUGUCCAGUGGCCAAGCCUGGAAGUCACAUCCUUGGGUUGUGCAAACUGAGAAGAUGAACCCUCUUGUGAACUGGAAGACCUCAGGCUGAAUGGAAAUGAAUGCAAAAUAAAAGCGGUCCCUCUUACAGCUCUGCUGCUUUCUCCCCUCCCCCAAAGCGAGGGUGCUGUCUGCUUGGCUUCUUCAAUAAAAUAAAGUUUUCAUAGCUGACA